rnacentral:rRNA from 1 species
GAUGAACGCUGGCGGCAUGCCUAAUACAUGCAAGUCGAACGGGAUAUCUUUCGGAUAUCCAGUGGCGAACGGGUGAGUAACACGUAGGUAACCUGCCCAUGUGCCCGGGAUAACGCCUGGAAACGGGUGCUAAAACCGGGAUAGGUAUCGCUUUCUGCAUGGAAAGAGGAUAUUAAAGGAGCUGCAAAGGCUCUGAACAUGGAUGGACCUGCGGUGCAUUUAGCUGGUUGGUGAGGUAACGGCCCACCAAGGCGACGAUGCAUAGCCGGCCUGAGACGGGUGAACGGCCACAUUGGGACUGAGACACGGCCCAAACUCCUACGGGAGGCAGCAGUAGGGAAUUUUUCGU